rnacentral:rRNA from 1 species
UACGGGGGGAGCAAGCGUUGUUCGGAUUUACUGGGCGUAAAGGGCGCGUAGGCGGCGUAACAAGUCACUUGUGAAAUCUCCGGGCUUAACCCGGAGCGGCCAAGUGAUACUGUUUUGCUAGAGUGCGGAAGGGGCAAUCGGAAUUCUUGGUGUAGCGGUGAAAUGCGUAGAUAUCAAGAGGAACACCUGAGGUGAAGACGGGUUGCUGGGCCGACACUGACGCUGAGUGCGCGAAAGCCAGGGGAGCAAACGGG